rnacentral:rRNA from 1 species
GAUGAACGCUAGCGAUAGGCUUAACACAUGCAAGUCGAGGGGCAGCACAAGGUAGCUUGCUAUCUGGGUGGCGACCGGCGCACGGGUGCGUAACGCGUAUGCAACUUGCCCUAUACAGGAGGAUAACCCGUCGAAAGACGGACUAAUACUGCGUAUGCUCACAACUUGGCAUCAAGUGGUGAGGAAAGAAAUUCGGUAUAGGAUAGGCAUGCGUCCCACUAGCUUGUUGGUGAGGUAACGGCUCACCAAGGCAACGAUGGGUAGGGGAACUGAGAGGUUUAUCCCCCACACUGGUACUGAGACACGGACCAGACUCCUACGGGAGGCAGCAGUGAGGAAUAUUGGUCAAUGGGCGCGAGCCUGAACCAGCCAAGUCGCGUGAAGGAUGACUGUCUUAUGGAUUGUAAACUUCUUUUAUACGGGAAUAACAAGAGUCACGUGUGACUCCCUGCAUGUACCGUAUGAAUAAGCAUCGGCUAACUCCGUG